rnacentral:rRNA from 1 species
AACGAACGCUGGCGGCAGGCUUAACACAUGCAAGUCGAACGGGUGCAGCAAUGCAUCAGUGGCAGACGGGUGAGUAACACGUGGGAACCUUCCUAGGGGUACGGAACAACUCAGGGAAACUUGAGCUAAUACCGUAUACGCCCCCGGACUUGAUCCGGGGGGAAAGGAUUCAUCGCCCCUACGACGGGCCCGGCGUCGGAUUAGGUAGUUGGUGGGGUAACGGCCUACCAAGCCUACGAUCCGUAGCUGAUCNGAGAGGAUGAUCAGCCACACUGGGACUGAGACACGGCCCAGACUCCUACGGGAGGGCAGCAGUGGGGAAUCUUGGACAAUGGGCGCAAGCCUGAUCCAGCCAUGCCGCGUGAGUGAAGAAGGCCUUAGGGUUGUAAAGCUCUUUUUACCAGGGAGAUAAUGACGGUACCUGGAGAAUAAGCCCCC